ensembl:lncRNA
CCCGAAGGGACGCGACGCGAUCAGCAAACCAAGCGGAUCGGGGGGAAAGUAGCAGCUGUGAACACAAGAAGAGCGUAAACCAAACAGCAUCAGUUAACCAUGCAGAGGUUAAAGGUCAAUCUGUGCACGGCAUGCAGGUUCUUUAUGCUGCAAACAUCUGCGCGACUCCACCGAGGGACGGUUCGUCCCCCUCCAUGAAGAGUCCUCCUGGUUCCAAACCUAGAAGAUGUUAAUGGUGGUGCUUCACGCGGCGCGUUACCAGUCCCCCACAAACCAGCAAACCGCCAUUACCGCGCCGAAAGAAGCGCACCGCUCCCUGGCGGCGAGGUCGUCCUGAACGAGCCCCCGCGGCACUCAUCCAUCUCACGGUCCCACCUGGCCUGUGCUGCGUGUGCUCCGGCCUGGAAUCUCUGGCUGCCUGGUCCACCGAGGGGGGGAGAACAUGUGCUUUGGGUUUACGCAGCCUUUGGAGUGGAGGCCAGUUGGAGCCGAGGAACCAGGCCUGGAGAAAGGAGAGGAGACGUGCCAGGGUUGGCUCGGCUUCAGAAUGCGUACUGGAGGAUCCAUCGUUAGGCGCUGCAGGGAAAGACGUUAGAGGCCAGAAUUGUCGACGAGAAGCCCAGCGGCACCUUCUCAUGUACGCUCGCCGAAGGCAUUACAUUCCAUUUGGGAGAAUGAAGGCCGGCUGGACGCCGGCUGCUGUGUGAUGGACGCCAGUUCCUCUGUGAUGAAAGAGGCUCUCGAUGAGGAACUAUAAGCUCAAAAUAGUGAACUGGAAUUUCGAAAUAAAGAGAAGCUUUGAUCAGAGCUGUCGAUGCAGGUUCCAACCAAAGCAGUGGAUGGAAUCCCAUUUCUGGAAAUUUACUGAAUAUUUAUCAUCUCUCUGAGAUGCCAAGUCAUUAUUUUUAUAAUACUAACUUAUUAUUUUGAGAUACUAAAUAAUUAUACUAUAUACAAAAUUCUUAGUAAUUAUUUUGACAUGCUAAAUCAUUAUUUUACGAUGCAAAAAAAUACAUAAAUGUUGUUUUGAGAAUUUUUGGCACAAUAAGACAUCAUUUUAAAAUACUAAAAAAUAAUUUUGAGAUUAUAAAACAUUACUUGGGACUAUUUUUAAAUAAUAACACGUUAUUUCUGAAUUUUGAGUUUUUGAUUAAAAGGGCUUCUUAGAAC